rnacentral:rRNA from 1 species
AGUCGAGCGCCCCGCAGGGGAGCGGCAGACGGGUGAGUAACGCGUGGGAAUCUACCCUUUUCUACGGAAUAACGCAGGGAAACUUGUGCUAAUACCGUAUAAGCCCUUCGGGGGAAAGAUUUAUCGGGAAAGGAUGAGCCCGCGUUGGAUUAGCUAGUUGGUGGGGUAAAGGCCUACCAAGGCGACGAUCCAUAGCUGGUCUGAGAGGAUGAUCAGCCACAUUGGGACUGAGACACGGCCCAAACUCCUACGGGAGGCAGCAGUGGGGAAUAUUGGACAAUGGGCGCAAGCCUGAUCCAGCCAUGCCGCGUGAGUGAUGAAGGCCCUAGGGUUGUAAAGCUCUUUCACCGGUGAAGAUAAUGACGGUAACCGGAGAAGAAGCCCCGGCUAACUUCGUGCCAGCAGCCGCGGUAAUACGAAGGGGGCUAGCGUUGUUCGGAAUUACUGGGCGUAAAGCGCACGUAGGCGGAUUGUUAAGUGAGGGGUGAAAUCCCAGGGCUCAACCCUGGAACUGCCUUUCAUACUGGCAAUCUAGAGUCCAGAAGAGGUGAGUGGAAUUCCGAGUGUAGAGGUGAAAUUCGUAGAUAUUCGGAGGAACACCAGUGGCGAAGGCGGCUCACUGGUCUGGUACUGACGCUGAGGUGCGAAAGC